rnacentral:rRNA from 1 species
AUUGAACGCUGGCGGCAGGCCUAACACAUGCAAGUCGAGCGGAUGAAGGGAGCUUGCUCCUGGAUUCAGCGGCGGACGGGUGAGUAAUGCCUAGGAACCUGCCUGGUAGUGGGGGAUAACGUCCGGAAACGGGCGCUAAUACCGCAUACGUCCUGAGGGAGAAAGUGGGGGAUCUUCGGAUCUCACGCUAUCAGAUGAGCCUAGGUCGGAUUAGCUAGUUGGCGGGGUAAAGGCCUACCAAGGCGACGAUCCGUAACUGGUCUGAGAGGAUGAUCAGUCACACUGGAACUGAGACACGGUCCAGACUCCUACGGGAGGCAGCAGUGGGGAAUAUUGGACAAAGGGCGAAAGCCUGAUCCAGCCAUGCCGCGUGUGUGAAGAAGGUCUUCGGAUUGUAAAGCACUUUAAUUUGGAAAGAAGAGCAGUAAGUUAAUACCUUGCUGUUUUGACGUUACCAACAGAAUAAGCACCGGCUAACUUCGUG